UACGAGUGCUCCAAGCGUUAUCCGGAAUCAUUGGGCGUAAAGGGUGUGUAGGUGGUUGUGUUAGUCUUGUGUUAAAAUUCUUCGGCUUAACCGGGGGUCUGCAUGGGAAACGGCACAACUAGAGGAUAGGAGAGGUACAUGGAACUCAUAGUGUAGGGGUGAAAUCCGUUGAUAUUACGGAGAACACCAAAUGCGAAGGCAAUGUACUGGCCUACUCCUGACACUGAAACACGAAAGCGUGGGUAGCGAAUGGG
rnacentral:rRNA from 1 species